rnacentral:lncRNA from 1 species
UGAGUCAUCACAUGUUGAUAACAUGAUAACUUACGUGACUAUACAUGUGUAAGGUAUAACUCCAUAAAUCAAGAAAUACUAAACAAAUGGAACUAAAGGAUCAAAAUUAAAGGAAUUUUAAAAAGUAUCCAAGGGCUCAAGACAUAUCAUUUGAACAUAAAGGGCCAAUGAGGCAUUGAUUGGUGGCUAACUUCUAUAAUAAUUCAUUCAAAUAGAUUGCACACCUUUUCUCUUCUCUAUUUCUUACUCUAUCUUGUCACAACUUUAUCUCCAUUUUCUUUGGGAUUCCUAAUCUAUUAAGUAGUCUUAUAAAGCAAUUUACAAAGCCACACAACUAAGGAAAAAAGUUAUAUGGAGAAUUGUUGAGAGCAGAAACUGUUGUUGAUUACUUGAUUUCUAUAUAUGAAAAAAAGGAUCCUUUUCUAGACUUUUUACCUUCUUCACCCAAUACUCUUUGGAUCUAAAGGAAUGAUAAAUUAGGAUAUCUCAGCCUCUCUCUCCCCGCAAUGUACCUCUCUAAUGACAUACUCUUCCAUACAAUUAAUUUUUCUUUUUAAUGCUUCUUUUGUCUCUUUUAAUCAUUAUUCUACAAACAUUUUUAUCCUAUUUGAGCCUUCGGAAGUCAAUUAUAACCCACUUUCUUGAGCUUUUAGGUGACCCUAUGUACUUCCAUGCAUAGUCCUAGCUCUUUUGCAUAGAUCUCCAUUAGAAAAUAUUUGAUAAAUUCCAUGCCCCGAUUCAGGA